CAACCCCUCGAGCCCUUCUGGGCUUGGUGUUAGGGCUUCCUACGUGCGCCGUAGGCCCUGAAUCACAGUGGCGGGCCCGCCGCGAUCCCGAGCGUAGUAAUGCUACGUCGCUUAGGGUGUCGCGGCGGGCGCUGGCCGUGAAAGACAACAACCCGCCCACCCCGUAGUGCCUUUGCGCACCUGGCGGUGGUAGGUGUCGUGUCACUAUUCAAAACAAA
rnacentral:misc_RNA from 1 species